AGUCCUUUGGACCAAGAGACAAAUGGGAAUGGUCAACAGCCAUAGCAGUAAUGCUGGGUACUCUGGCCAGGUCAAAGAAAACUGGAAGGGAGUGCCUUGAAGAGGUUCCCAACUGCAAUGAAUGUUUGCACCCAGUCAAUGGAAGCACCCGGCAAAUGUCUGUUACACAAGCAGAAGAAUGAAUAAGUGAAUGAAGCUCCAUUGUUGCUCACUAUCACCAUCUUCUUUAACUCUGUCAGUUCAUUUGAAUUAUGUAUUCACACAGUUCUGACUAAAUCCAGACUUAGCAUGUUUAAAUUAUAUUCAGUUGUAAAAUGUAAGGCUAGGAUUUUUGAAGAUAAGAAGAACUUCUAACACUGGAAAUGAUGAGUAAUCAAUGGUUCUCUACAUAGGAAGACAAAAGGCUGGUAGCAAGAAUGUUUGGAUUGACAGUCUUUGGCAUUUGGGGGAAAUCACUUAAUGUCAUUCAUUUUUUUCUUCUGACAAUGUUCCCUUGUCAGUAAAAUGCUGACAGAAACUGGUAUAUUCCAAAUUAGAUAAACUAAACGAAUCUAUUUGAGGGAGAAAAGCACCAAUUAAAACAAAGGAAACUUCCAAUAGCAGUAUAUUGUCUUUACCUCCCUUUCUAAUUAUGCUCAUGAUGAUAUAUUAUUUUUAUGGGGACUUAAUAUCUUGAUGUAUUGAUGAACACAGUUCUUCUUGGUGAUUCAUGAUGAACAGUAUAAAAAGUCAAAUUCAAGGUUGUUGAACUAGAAAAAGAACUCUAUGAAGGCUUUGGGCUUGAUGUUUAUGCUAUAAGCCAUGCCUAUGAAAGCAUGCAGGCUUCUCAGUCAAGAUAGCUUGUAACUUGGGCUUUCUCGUUUUCUUCUACCACCCAGUAAAGCUAAGGGGGAAAGGACUUAGUAAAUCAAAAUCAACAGCUAACUGACAUUUAAUGUGGGGAAUUAUCUUGGAGAGCCUGAUGGUGGUGCCUCCUGGUACACGGAGGAGAGAAGUGAGGUCACUUUGUGUAUGAGCUCCUUCUAUAUGCUUAGAGGCCCUCUCGUCCUUAGUUCCUAUUACCUUUUAUCGUGUCUUUUGUACUGUACGUUUAUUUGUAAGUGUAGUGUAAGUCUAUGUUAACUAUGAACUCUUAGAACUUAGCUGCUUCAGUGUGAGCCACAUGAC
rnacentral:lncRNA from 1 species